rnacentral:rRNA from 1 species
GACGAACGCUGGCGGCGUGCUUAACACAUGCAAGUCGAACGGAAAGGCCCUGCUUUUGUGGGGCGCACGAGUGGCGAACGGGUGAGUAACACGUGAGUAACCUGCCCUUGACUUUGGGAUAACUUCAGGAAAAAGGGGCUAAUACCGCAUAGGAGAUCCUGCUGCAUGGUGGGGGUUGGAAAGAUACGGCCGUUGGGGAUGGACUAGCUGCAUAUCCGCUUGUUGGUGGGGUAGUGGCUUACAAAGGCUUUGACGGGUAGCCGGCCUGAGAGGGUGACCGGCCACCUUGGGACUGAGAUACGGCCCAGACUCCUACGGGAGGCAGCAGUGGGGAAUAUUGCACAAUGGGCGGAAGCCUGAUGCAGCAACGCCGCGUGCGGGAUAACGGCCUUCGGGUUGUAAACCGCUUUCGCCUGUGACGAAGCGUGAGUGACGGUAAUGGGUAAAGAAGCACCGGCUAACUACGUG